GACCCGUCUUGAAGCACGGACCAAGGAGUCCAACAUGUGCGCGAGUCUAAGGGUGAUUUAAACCUGGAGGCGAAAUGAAAGUGAGCUCCUUUUGGGGCAGGCCGAUCCCCUGUGGUUGAGUGGUGCGUUCUGUUCCAGCGGCAAUUGUGUUUGCUGUUGGUUUUGGGGCGUGUCGUUCUUCUACGGCUCCGUGCGGUUGCGUGCGGGGAGAUGGGGCGCAGGCCGAGGACUUGCCUUAGUGCGGCGCGGGCAACGGGAGGUCACCCUGUGGCUUCCUUAUCCCGAUGUGCGCCGGCAAGUACCUGAGAGCGCAGCCGUUGGGACCCGAAAGAUGGUGAACUAUGCCUGGCGAGGACGAAGCCAGAGGAAACUCUGGUGGAGGUCCGAAGCAGUUCUGACGUGCAAAUCGAUUGUCAGAGCUGGGUAUAGGGGCGAAAGACUAAUCGAACCAUCUAGUAGCUGGUUCCUUCCGA
rnacentral:rRNA from 1 species